CCUCCCAAGAGAACAAAAUAAACAGAGGCCAAGAACUUGUAGAACUCCACGACAAAUAAGAACUUUUUCUUCGUCUUUUCCUCAUUCUUGUGACAUCAGGUUUCUUGCAGGUCUCCUGGAUAUGCUCCAGUUUCACCGUCUUAUAGUCAAGUGGCCAGUUCUGCCAAUGUGCUCUCAAAUGGGGAACGAGCAUUGAAUAAAUAAUUAUUGCAUGAUCAAUUAGCAUAUGUACCCUUUGCUCAAUAUCCACAAUUUGUUUCCUCCUUUUUCAAUAUCCAGGUGCUAACGGCCUUGGUAUUCCAAAGGCUCAACUUGAGGCCCAUUAGAUAUCUUUACAGCAACAAAUUGAGAACUCAGAGGCAAGGAAGUACAUAUUAAAUGAACUCAAUGGCACUGCGAGUAAACACCAAGCACGUAUGUUAUCAGUUUCGAUUUCUUCCAUCCUAUGCUUCUGUCAUUUUUUAUUUUUUUUGAUAUGAAAAAUACUUGCAUAUCUUUAGGUCGUGAAAUGUGACAUACAACUCAUAUGGAGUCGAAUUCUUUUGAUACUGCAAUUGAUUUAGCUGUGCCUACG